UCGUUGGUGGCGCGUAUGCCUUGUAAGCACUAGGUUGCGGGUUCGAUUCCCGCCCGGGGAG
rnacentral:tRNA from 1 species